UACGAAGGGGGCUAGCGUUGUUCGGAAUUACUGGGCGUAAAGCGCGCGUAGGCGGCCUUGCAAGUCAGGGGUGAAAGGCCUGGGCUUAACCCGGGAGUGGCCUUUGAGACUGCAAGGCUUGAGAGUGGGAGAGGAUGGUGGAAUUCCCAGUGUAGAGGUGAAAUUCGUAGAUAUUGGGAAGAACACCGGUUGCGAAGGCGGCCAUCUGGCCCACCACUGACGCUGAAGUGCGAAAGCGUGGGGAGCAAACAGG
rnacentral:rRNA from 1 species